GCCCGCUACAGAAACUACAAAGGAAUUGACGGGGCCCGCACAAGCGGAGGAGCAUGUGGUUUAAUUCGAUGAUACGCGAGGAACCUUACCUGGGCUCGAACGUAAGAUGACUGUAGGUGAAAGCUUACAUCUCUUCGGAGCAUUUUACGAGGUGCUGCAUGGUUGUCGUCAGCUCGUGCCGUGAGGUGUCGGGUUAAGUCCCAUAACGAGCGCAACCCCUACCUUUAGUUGCCAUCAGGUAAUGCUGGGGACUCUAAAGGAACUGCCUACGCAAGUAGUGAGGAAGGCGGGGAUGACGUCAAAUCAGCACGGCCCUUACGUCCAGGGCUACACACGUGCUACAAUGGCCGAUACAGAGGGCAGCUACCUGGUGACAGGAUGCAAAUCUCCAAAGUCGGUCUCAGUUCGGAUCGGAGUCUGCAACCCGACUCCGUGAAGUUGGAAUCGCUAGUAAUCGCGGAUCAGCCAAGCCGCGGUGAAUACGUUCCCGGGCCUU
rnacentral:rRNA from 1 species